GAAAAAGCAGAAUAACUGAUGAAAAGGAGAAAAAAAACAGGACACAACAACAAGUCCUCUGCCUCGAUUCUACGACAUGCAAAGACAAUACUGAAAAAUUACUUUGGCAAACUACCAUGCUGUGGUUACCUCUUCAUAACUUUACGCAUGGCGACCAGGGAAGAAAAGCAGACCCAAUUCAUCCAAUGCUCCAGCCAUAUUGAAACAUUUAAGCGUUCUGUAUUAAACACUAUUUG